rnacentral:lncRNA from 1 species
GACAAAAACCAUGUUUUGUUGGUCUCCUUUUCUUUUUUUUCUAAUAGUCAUAGUGUUCGAGUCAUUUUACACACAACCUCAACUAAUUCCACGGGUACCUGCUAUCUUCCACCAGCACAAUCACCGAGUAACUCUUUCCAUCAAGGUUACAAUCACCUAGGACGACUCGUUUAGAAUUUGCCUCAAGCCUCUCAAUAUGCAAAACUCAGAGUCCUAUUUCAAUUCCACUUUGAAAUCUAAAUACUUUCCAUGAAGUGUUCCAGAACAAGAAAACAAGCAUACAAAAGCAGAUGUCUUUAAGUCGGAUUUAAUGUAUAUACACUGACAACGUAAAAAAUAUUAACAUUUUCAGUCUAACUUAACUUCUUGUAGCAUGUCGGCCUUUUGAUAAGUACUAUAAUAUAAAAACUUUUUCACUUUGACCAAUUAGGCUUCAGAUCUCCUUUGGAUAUACCUGUAAAAUAAGAACAGUUGUAAAAGCAGACAGUUAGUUAUGUACCAUGACUAAAAAGAUUAAAAGAAACUAAUCCAUUUAUAAAAGAGUCAAUAGAAAAAAUAAGUGGUAAUCUGAUAGCCCAUUCGGCCAAGCUUCUCAAAAAUCAAAAGUGCUAAUUAUCUAAGUUACUCAGGCUCUCGAAAAAUAUUGCCGCCCCCGUGUCGGAUCCUUCAAAAAUACACUAUUUUAAAGGAUCCGACAUGCACCCGUAGACAUUUUUGAAGAGUCCGAGCAACUUUUCUCGAAAAACACUCCUGAUAAGAUGCAAUUUUCAGGAUAAGCAGAUUUUAGAAGCUUGGCCAACCAGGAGAUCAGUAUGAACCCAGUGACAACACAUGGUUUUAUGGUAGAAAUAGAAUAUUUUCAAGAUUAUAAGAGGAUGAUAUGGCAAUAGUUAAUUACCUGAAACCUGCUCUGUGGAAACUGGAUUAGGUUCAAAGAAAACUAGAAUAGCAAUUUCAUGUGCGUAUCGACUCUGUAGAUUUGAGUUUUACUUCACUCUUUCUGAAGGGAGUAACUUUAAGAUAUCGAUAAAAUGAUCCGGUCUUUAAUGCUGAGACCUGCAAAUCAUGUGCUAAUAUGUCAGUUAAAGAACAUAUAAAAUAGAAUCACAAGGCCAAAUAAAUGUGUGAUAUGUGCUUUCGUAUACUAAAUUUUAAGCAUUUAAUCAUGAUUAAUGAAUACAUAUUUUUAUUUCAAUUUAUCAAUAAAGGAGAGUAAAUCUAUAUCUUAGUUUUGUUCAAACCAAAUGUGACCAAGUCAAAAGCCACAUGAAAGUUGCAAUUGGCAAGAGGACAAAAACCAUGUUUUGUUGGUCUCCUUUUCUUUUUUUUCUAAUAGUCAUAGUGUUCGAGUCAUUUUACACACAACCUCAACUAAUUCCACGGGUACCUGCUAUCUUCCACCAGCACAAUCACCGAGUAACUCUUUCCAUCAAGGUUACAAUCACCUAGGACGACUCGUUUAGAAUUUGCCUCAAGCCUCUCAAUAUGCAAAACUCAGAGUCCUAUUUCAAUUCCACUUUGAAAUCUAAAUACUUUCCAUGAAGUGUUCCAGAACAAGAAAACAAGCAUACAAAAGCAGAUGUCUUUAAGUCGGAUUUAAUGUAUAUACACUGACAACGUAAAAAAUAUUAACAUUUUCAGUCUAACUUAACUUCUUGUAGCAUGUCGGCCUUUUGAUAAGUACUAUAGUAAAAUAAUAUGAUAAUUAAAGUACAAGAAACAACAGAUAGUAACAAAAGUCGAAGGACAUUUCCCUAGAUUAAUAAUUCCCCUUAUUAUUUUUAAGUUAAAGUUUGAUUUUCUAGCAUGUCAACUUUGAACAAUUGUCCUUCCUUUCUAAGCCCUGUGGACCCAAACAACUUGCAACUCCAUGUUCAUAUUCUUUCCAAAAUAUAAUCUUCCUUAGUCCCCACUUUUCAAAUUGGUUGGUACUAUUUCUAGUAAAUAAAAUUCAAAAUUGGUGAAUUCUUUAAAAGAACUUGCUCAACUGGACAUGUGACACUUUCAAGUAUACCAGAUUCAAAAUUUGCUAAAAUCAUGGAGAAAAUAAAGGGAUUUGACAUAGAUUAA